AGAGUUUGAUCCUGGCUCAGAUUGAACGCUGGCGGCAGGCCCAACACAUGCAAGUCGAGCGGUAGAGAGAAGCUUGCUCCUCUUGAGAGCGGCGGACGGGUGAGUAAUGCCUAGGAAUCUGCCUGGUAGUGGGGGAUAACGUUCGGAAACGGACGCUAAUACCGCAUACGUCCUACGGGAGAAAGCAGGGGACCUUCGGGCCUUGCGCUAUCAGAUGAGCCUAGGUCGGAUUAGCUAGUUGGUGAGGUAAUGGCUCACCAAGGCGACGAUCCGUAACUGGUCUGAGAGGAUGAUCAGUCACACUGGAACUGAGACACGGUCCAGACUCCUACGGGAGGCAGCAGUGGGGAAUAUUGGACAAUGGGCGAAAGCCUGAUCCAGCCAUGCCGCGUGUGUGAAGAAGGUCUUCGGAUUGUAAAGCACUUUAAGUUGGGAGGAAGGGUUGUAGAUUAAUACUCUGCAAUUUUGACGUUACCGACAGAAUAAGCACCGGCUAACUCUGUGCCAGCAGCCGCGGUAAUACAGAGGGUGCAAGCGUUAAUCGGAAUUACUGGGCGUAAAGCGCGCGUAGGUGGUUUGUUAAGUUGGAUGUGAAAUCCCCGGGCUCAACCUGGGAACUGCAUUCAAAACUGACUGACUAGAGUAUGGUAGAGGGUGGUGGAAUUUCCUGUGUAGCGGUGAAAUGCGUAGAUAUAGGAAGGAACACCAGUGGCGAAGGCGACCACCUGGACUAAUACUGACACUGAGGUGCGAAAGCGUGGGGAGCAAACAGGAUUAGAUACCCUGGUAGUCC
rnacentral:rRNA from 1 species